rnacentral:lncRNA from 1 species
UAAAUGUUAUGCUAUGUAUACUUUACCACAAUUUUAAAAAGUACACACACGGUGAAAAAAAAAAACAAUUAGCUAACUGGUGAUUGCGUGAAGGAUGAACUGGAUUAGGCCAAGGUGAUCAAGUUCUAAUACUUUUUACUUUUAUUUUUAUUUUACUAACAUUAUUUUCCAAAAAAUGUAAUUUUGUUUUGUAUAUAUUAUACAGGAAGGAUUUAAUACAUCUCAUCUAAAAAAUUGUAUCCAUUAUAAAACUUCUGCCUUUGUGAAUUUUCUACCGUGACCAUUGUUUCUAUUAAAUCCAAUUUUUCUGGACAUAUAUUUGUAGGUCUAAAUUUUAUCAAAACAAUU